rnacentral:rRNA from 1 species
GAUGAACGCUAGCUACAGGCUUAACACAUGCAAGUCGAGGGGCAGCACUAGGUAGCAAUACUGAGGUGGCGACCGGCGCACGGGUGCGUAACGCGUAUCCAACCUUCCCGUUACUCUUGGAUAGCCUUCCGAAAGGGAGAUUAAUACAAGAUGGUAUUCAAAUUCCGCAUGUUAUUUGAAUUAAAGAUUUAUCGGUAACGGAUGGGGAUGCGUGACAUUAGAUAGUAGGCGGGGUAACGGCCCACCUAGUCUACGAUGUCUAGGGGUUCUGAGAGGAAGGUCCCCCACACUGGAACUGAGACACGGUCCAGACUCCUACGGGAGGCAGCAGUGAGGAAUAUUGGUCAAUGGUCGGAAGACUGAACCAGCCAAGUAGCGUGAAGGAUGAAGGUUCUAUGGAUUGUAAACUUCUUUUAUACGGGAAUAAAACACCUUACGUGUAGGGUCUUGUAUGUACCGUAUGAAUAAGCAUCGGCUAACUCCGUG